AGAGUUUGAUCCUGGCUCAGAACGUACGCUGGCGGCACGCCUAACACAUGCAAGUCGAACGAAGUAGCAAUACUUAGUGGCAGACGGGUGAGUAACAUGUAGGUAUCUGCCCUUUGGCCUGGAAUAACACGAGGAAACUUGUGCUAAUACCGGAUAAGUCUUUACGGAGAAAGCUUUAUGCACCAUUGGAUGAGCCUGCACUUGAUUAGUUUGUUGGUGGGGUAAUGGCCUACCAAGACUGUGAUCAAUAGCUGAUUUGAGAGGAUGAUCAGCCACAUUGGGACUGAGACACGGCCCAAACUCCUACGGGAGGCAGCAGUGGGGAAUCUUGCACAAUGGAGGAAACUCUGAUGCAGCGAUGCCGCGUGAGUGAAGAAGGCCUUUGGGUUGUAAAGCUCUUUCGUCGGGGAAGAAAAUGACUGUACCCGAAUAAGAAGGUCCGGCUAACUUCGUGCCAGCAGCCGCGGUAAUACGAAGGGACCUAGCGUAGUUCGGAAUUACUGGGCUUAAAGAGUUCGUAGGUGGUUGAAAAAGUUGGUGGUGAAAUCCCAGAGCUUAACUCUGGAACUGCCAUCAAAACUUUUCAGCUAGAGUAUGAUAGAGGAAAGCAGAAUUUCUAGUGUAGAGGUGAAAUUCGUAGAUAUUAGAAAGAAUACCAAUUGCGAAGGCAGCUUUCUGGAUCAUUACUGACACUGAGGAACGAAAGCGUGGGUAGCGAAGAGGAUUAGAUACCCUCGUAGUCCAUGCCGUAAACGAUGUGUGUUAGACGUUGGAAAUUUAUUUUCAGUGUCGCAGCGAAAGCGAUAAACACACCGCCUGGGGAGUACGACCGCAAGGUUAAAACUCAAAUGAAUUGACGGGGACCCGCACAAGUAGUGGAGCAUGUGGUUUAAUUCGAAGAUACGCGCAGAACCUUACCAACACUUGACAUGUUCGUCGCGACUUUAAGAGAUUAAAGUUUUCGGUUCGGCCGGACGAAACACAGGUGCUGCAUGGCUGUCGUCAGCUCGUGUCGUGAGAUGUUGGGUUAAGUCCCGCAACGAGCGCAACCCUCACUUUUAGUUGCCAUCAUUUAGUUGGGCACUCUGAAAGAACUGCCAGUGAUAAGCUGGAGGAAGGUGGGGAUGACGUCAAGUCCUCAUGGCCCUUACGUGUUGGGCUACACACGUGCUACAAUGGUAUCUACAACAGGAAGCAAAACUGCGAAGUUAAGCAAAUCCUUAAAAGAUACCUCAGUUCGGAUUGCACUCUGCAACUCGAGUGCAUGAAGCUGGAAUUACUAGUAAUCGUGGAUCAGCGUGCCACGGUGAAUGCGUUCCCGGGUCUUGUACACACCGCCCGUCACACCAUGGGAGUUGGUUCUACCUUAAGGCAAGGUUUCAAACCCUUGACCACGGUAUAGUCAGCGACUGGGGUGAAGUCGUAACAAGGUAACC
rnacentral:rRNA from 1 species